rnacentral:rRNA from 1 species
CCUACGGGUGGCAGCAGUGAGGAAUAUUGGUCAAUGGCCGAGAGGCUGAACCAGCCAAGUCGCGUGAGGGAAGACGGCUCUACGGGUUGUAAACCUCUUUUGUCGGGGAGCAAAGCGAGUCACGUGUGACUCAUUGCGAGUACCCGAAGAAACAGCAUCGGCUAACUCCGUGCCAGCAGCCGCGGUAAUACGGAGGAUGCGAGCGUUAUCCGGGUUUAUUGGGUUUAAAGGGUGCGCAGGCGGAGGUGCAAGUCAGCGGUCAAAUCUCGGGGCUCAACCCCGUACUGCCGUUGAAACUGCAUCCCUUGAGUGCGCGAGAAGUAUGCGGAAUGCGUGGUGUAGCGGUGAAAUGCAUAGAUAUCACGCAGAACUCCGAUUGCGAAGGCAGCAUACCGGCGCCCUACUGACGCUGAGGCACGAAAGCGUGGGUAUCGAACAGGAUUAGAUACCCUAGUAGUC